rnacentral:rRNA from 1 species
UGCCCUACGGGACGCAGCAGUGGGGAAUAUUGCACAAUGGGGGGAACCCUGAACGAGCAAUGCCGCGUGAGUGAAGAAGGUCUUCGGAUCGUAAAGCUCUGUUGUAAGAGAAAAACGGAUAUCAUAGGGAAUGAUGAUAUCGUGAUGGUAUCUUACCAGAAAGCCACGGCUAACUACGUGCCAGCAGCCGCGGUAAUACGUAGGUGGCAAGCGUUAUCCGGAAUGAUUGGGCGUAAAGGGUGCGUAGGCGGCAAAAUAAGUCUGAAGUAAAAGGCGUUGGCUCAACCAACGUAAGCUUUGGAAAC